UUGACAUUUCGCAAUGGGAGGCUCUUUCCAGAGGAGAGGAAAUCAGCACAAGCCGGGAUGAUUUGCAAGACUCUUCCGCAGCCGAGGAGGCUAUAAAAACCCGCCUGCCUUGAUGCCUGCAUUCACAUCACAUCACCUCUCUUCUCGGAUCCUGCUCCCUUUGGAAACUCAGGCUUAGCAAGAUGAAAACUCUCCUGGAGAAGGCUUUGGAGUGCAUAGUCAACAUCUUCCACCAGUAUGCCAUUCGGAACCCAAUGGAUGACUACCUGCAGUUCAAGGAGUUCGAGAAGCUAUUGAAGGAACAAGCUCAGCCUUUCUUGAAGGACACUCUACCUCCCGGUAUGAAUCAGGAUGCUUACAUCAAGAAGAUGUUUGAAAAAGCAGACAAGAGCCGUGACGGGAAGCUGAAGUUCACAGAGUUCUUGCCUGUGCUGGAGCUUGCCCUCAUAGAUGCUCACAACAGAUCCCACAGCCUGCCUGAGACAGGGCACUGAAUUAGCCAGGGCCCACCUGCAAGGCAGCCACGGUCCCAAUGGAUCCCAUUCUUGAGUCAUCCAUUCCCAUGGAUUGUAGGCACCCCUGCCUGACUACAUCGCUGGCACUAGAAGACUUCAAAGUCUUGUCAUAAGAACAAUAAAACACACUUCAUUGAGAACUCUCUGGGUCUUCUCCUCAUGUCUUUUGUUUCGUUUGCAUCCACUUUCAUUAAUUUUCAUACAGUUUUAC
rnacentral:lncRNA from 1 species